rnacentral:rRNA from 1 species
CCGUUCCGUAAGGUGACCUGCGGAACGAUCAUU